AAAUGAAGGUUAUAUUUGUUAGAUGAAAAUCCCACAUCGGUUAAUUUAGGGAAUGAUCAUGGGUUUAUAGUCAAGGAAUACUCUUUCCAUUGGAAUGAAGUCUUUUGGGGAAGCCCAAAGCAAAGCUAUAAGAGCUUAUGAUCAAAGAGGACAAUAUCAUACUAUU